GAAUCUUAGACAAUGGGGGCAACCCUGAUCUAGCCAUGCCGCGUGAGUGACGAAGGCCCUAGGGUCGUAAAGCUCUUCCGCUGGGGAAGAUAAUGACUGUACCCAGUACAGAAGUCCCGGCUAACUCCGUGCCAGCAGCCGCGGUAAUCCGGAGGGGACUAGCGUUGUUCGGAAUUACUGGGCGUAAAGCGCACGUAGGCGGACCGAAAAGUCAGAGGUGAAAUCCCAGGGCUCAACCUUGGAGCUGCCUUUGAAACUGCCGGUCUAGAGUUCGAGAGAGGUGAGUGGAAUUCCGAGUGUAGAGGUGAAAUUCGUAGAUAUUCGGAGGAACACCAGUGGCGAAGGCGGCUCACUGGCUCGAUACUGACGCUGAGGUGCGAAAGCGUGGGGAGCAAACAGG
rnacentral:rRNA from 1 species